GUCUACGGUCAUUGCCACCUAGAACGUGCCCGAUCUCAUCUGAUCUCGGAAGCUAAGCAGGGUCGGGCCUGGUUAGUACUUGGAUGGGAGACCACCUAGGGGAAGACCAGGUGCUAUAGGUG
rfam:Pteropus alecto contig33878, whole genome shotgun sequence.